UUAAGUGACUAAGCGUACACGGUGGAUGCCUGGGCAGUCAGAGGCGAUGAAGGACGUACUAACUUGCGAUAAGCGCAGAUAAGGCAGUAAGAGCCGUUUGAGUCUGCGAUUUCCGAAUGGGGAAACCCAACUGCAUAAGCAGUUACUGUUAACUGAAUACAUAGGUCAACAGAGCAAACCGGGGGAACUGAAACAUCUAAGUACCCCGAGGAGAAGAAAUCAACCGAGAUUCCGGUAGUAGCGGCGAGCGAACCUGGAUUAGCCCUUAAGCACUCGGUGAAGUAGGUGAACAAGCUGGAAAGCUUGGCGAUACAGGGUGAUAGCCCCGUAACCGACGCUUCAUCGAGCGUGAAAUCGAGUAGGGCGGGACACGUGAUAUCCUGUCUGAAUAUGGGGGGACCAUCCUCCAAGGCUAAAUACUCCUGACUGACCGAUAGUGAACCAGUACCGUGAGGGAAAGGCGAAAAGAACCCCUGUGAGGGGAGUGAAAUAGAACCUGAAACCGUGUACGUACAAGCAGUAGGAGCACCUUCGUGGUGUGACUGCGUACCUUUUGUAUAAUGGGUCAGCGACUUAUAUUCAGUGGCAAGGUUAACCGUAUAGGGGAGCCGUAGCGAAAGCGAGUCUUAACUGGGCGCUCAGUCUCUGGAUAUAGACCCGAAACCGGGUGAUCUAGCCAUGGGCAGGUUGAAGGUUGAGUAACAUCAACUGGAGGGCCGAACCGACUAAUGUUGAAAAAUUAGCGGAUGACUUGUGGCUAGGGG
rnacentral:rRNA from 1 species